UACAGAGGGUGCGAGCGUUGUUCGGAAUUAUUGGGCGUAAAGGGCGCGUAGGCGGCGCGGUAUGUCACCUGUGAAAUCUCCUGGCUCAACUGGGAGCUUGCAGGCGAAACUGCCGUGCUGGAGUGUGGGAGAGGUGAGUGGAAUUCCUGGUGUAGCGGUGAAAUGCGCAGAUAUCAGGAGGAACACCGAUGGCGAAGGCAGCUCGCUGGGACGGUACUGACGCUGAGGCGCGAAAAGCGUGGGGGAGCAAAACAGG
rnacentral:rRNA from 1 species